rnacentral:lncRNA from 1 species
UCCAAAUGUUGAUCCCCUUGACAGGUGCCCCAGGCCAGCUCCUCUGGUGCCAGUGCUGGGAAGGAAGUGCAAUUCCCAGCUGUCCCUGCCGCUCCUACAAUGCUGGGUGCAGCCCAGAGCGAGGCCAUUUGUGAGGAUUUGCCAGGCUCUCUAGCAGCUGAGAUGGACCUGGCGCUCAGCUGCCCUCCACCCACACGGGGAGAAGCCCAGGCCUCAAUUUCUGUACACAUCAGCAUUGCCUGCAAGUAACGUCUUGUUAAACACAGAGCACCCAGCCAUGCCCCGGAGUCUUCGAUCAGCAGAGCCAUGAGAGUCUCACAGGAGCGCGAACUCUAUUGUGAACCAUGCAUGUGAGCAGAUGGCUUGAGUCCAGGAGUUCAAGACCAGCGUGGGCAACAUGGCCAAACCCCGUCUCUACUAAAAGCACAAAAAUUAGCCGGGUAUGGUGACACACACCUGUAGUCCCAGCUGAGAAUCUAACUAAUGCCUGUUGAUCUGAGGUGGAACAGUUUCCCCCACCCCACCCCGUCUGUGGAAAAUUUGUCUUCCACGAAACCAGUCCCUGGUGCCAAAAAGGUUAGGGGCUGCUGGUCUAGAGACACGCAGCACAUAUGCCCGCAUGUUCUAGAGUGCUCUCUCUCCUACACAAAGAGUGGCUUACUACCCAAGAUGCCCUGGACCUUGGAUUUAUUUUUUAUUUUACAUUGUUGUUUAAUUACAAAAUAUUUCAAAAGUAUUGACAUAUGGUGACUUACAUAACAAACAUCCUUUAACCCCACCCAGCAUCGUCAUAUCUUAGUAGUAUGCUGUGUUUGCCUUUGGAUUUUGUUUGUAUAGACUCUUAUAGACACGGUAGAAGUCCCUGAGGGCCCGUUUCUGGUCCCACUCCCCACUGCCCUUCCCUGGAGAGAGGCUCUGUCAUGCAUCGGCUGUUCAUUGCCUCUGACUUUUCUACUUGUCCCUCUCUCUCCCCCAUUCUACUUCCAC